GACGAACGCUGGCGGCGUGCUUAACACAUGCAAGUCGAACGGAAAGGCCCUGCUUUUGUGGGGUGCUCGAGUGGCGAACGGGUGAGUAACACGUGAGUAACCUGCCCUUGACUUUGGGAUAACUUCAGGAAACUGGGGCGAAUACCGGAUAGGAGCUCCUGCUGCAUGGUGGUGGUUGGAAAGUUUCGGCGGUUGGGGAUGGACUCGCGGCUUAUCAGCUUGUUGGUGGGGUAGUGGCGUACCAAGGCUUUGACGGGUAGCCGGCCUGAGAGGGUGACCGGCCACAUUGCGACUGAGAUACGGACCAGACUCCUACGGGAGGCAGCAGUGGGGAAUAUUGCACAAUGGGCGGAAGCCUGAUGCAGAAACGCCGCGUGCGGGAUGCUGGCCUUCGGGUUGUAAACAGCUUUCGCAUGUGACGAAGCGUGCGUGACGGUAAUGGGUAAAGAAGCACCGGCUAACUACGUG
rnacentral:rRNA from 1 species